GCUUCCUUAGCUCAGUCGGUAGAGCGCGAGUCUCAUAAUGACCACAGAGUGCGGUGGGUAAUCUCGAGGUCGCAAGUUCGAGCCUUGCAGGGAGCA